rnacentral:rRNA from 1 species
UACGUAGGGUCCGAGCGUUGUCCGGAGUUACUGGGCGUAAAGAGCGCGCAGGCGGUCGUGCAAGUCGCGUGUGAAAGCCCCCGGCUCAACUGGGGAGGGUCACGCGAUACUGAUCGACUCGAAGGCAGGAGAGGGUAGUGGAAUUCCCGGUGUAGUGGUGAAAUGCGUAGAUAUCGGGAGGAACACCAGUGGCGAAGGCGACUACCUGGCCUGUUCUUGACGCUGAGGCGCGAAAGCUAGGGGAGCAAACGGGG